GCCUGGUUUGGGUUAAAUCCCAUAAAAUCAUCUUGAGAAGGAUGUGUAGUUCUUCAGAUCUGUCAGACUUUUUAUUAUUUGUGGGUUGUGGUUAUGAUUGACCUGGAGGUUACAUCUGUCAAUUUAUGAUCCUGUCAAGCAUUUACAUUUGAUAAAAGAUUUUUAAAAACUAUGUUCUGAGGCACUUACUGAAGAGCAGAGUUCUUGGUUUCAUGUUCCAGGCCAGAGAGGAGAACCAAAAGAAGAUUUUAGGUCAAAGGCACCAUCCCCCAUGCCCAAGUACUAGAGAUGAUUACACCCAUAGUCAGCUAUAAAUUUUAAAAAAUGAACAGGCAAUGGAGAAAGUUACUAUGGGAAUAGAGAAGACAAGACUUCAUCUUCAGAAGAGGAUACUAAAGCCAAAAAAAAAAAAAAAAAGCCUCUCUAUCCCAAUGAGUAAUGUUAAAAAAGAAUUCAUAAAAGAACUCAAAAAAGACUUUUGAAAAUCAAUGAGAGAGAUUAAGGAAAAACUAAAAAGAAAAAAAAUUCAGGAAAAAUAAGAAGAUUAUGAAAAUAAAGUCCGCCAACUAGAAAAGGAGAUCCAGAAUCCUUAAAAACCAGAAUUGGGCAAGGGGAAAUCAACAAAUUUAUGAGCCCCCCCCAAAAAAGUUUUUAAAAUACAAUGAAAAAAAUAGAAAAGAAUGUGAAACAUUUCAUAAUAAAAACAACUGACCUACAGAACAAAUCAAGAACAUAAAACUUAAAAAUAACUGGGCUACCUGAAAGCUAUGACCAAAAUAAAAAGUAUCUUCAUAAAAUAAUACAAAAGAUAAUUUAAAAUUAUUAUCAGCUUCACAGUUUCAAUUAAUAAUAACAAUAUAAUAGUUCAUACAUUUAUUUAACACUUUAAUGUCUGCAAGGUGCUGUACAGUUAUUAUUUUACUUAAUCCUCACAACAACCCUGUGUGGUAGGUGCUUUUAUUAUUCCCAUUUAACAGAUAAAACUGAGAGAAGUCUCCCCACUACACUAUGUGGUCUCUUUAGGGUUGCCAUAGCAUAGAACAUACAUUUUCUCAUUUUGGAUCCUCACCACAAACUGAAUGAGGUGGGUAUCAAUUUUUUCCUCGCUUCACAAAAGGUUGAGAGGAGUUAAAUGUAUUACUCAGGGUCACAUAGUUAGUAUAUAUAAAUUAAUACAUAUAGAUCAAUCCAGAUCUUCCUGAUCCCCAGCCCACUUAUCUCCACUGGACUAUUUCUCUUAUUUGAUUUUCAUUGUAAUUGGCAGGAAUGCUAAUUUUUUCUGGGUUUUUCAGACAAGGAACCUGAGGCUCAAGCCCCAAGGGAAGUGACCUGCUAUUAGCAGUAAGGCCUGGAGGCAGGAUUGGGAGCCAGGGCUUCCCUGACCCUG
rnacentral:lncRNA from 1 species